AGCUCCAAUAGCGUAUAUUAAAGUUGUUGCAGUUAAAAAGCUCGUAGUUGGAUUUCUGUUUUUAGUUACCGGUCCGCUCAUGUAUUUGAGUGUGUACUUGUGUUUCUGAAUUCAUUUUUGUGAGGAUCCUUAGCUGGCAUUAAGUUGUCCGGCUUUGUGUACUUGCAUCUUUUACUGUGAAAAAAUUAGAGUGUUUAAAGCAGGCGUUCGCUUCUUGAAUACAUUAGCAUGGAAUAAUAAGAUAUGACUUGUGUGGUCUAUUUUGUUGGUUUGCACACGCGAGUAAUGAUUAAUAGGGACAGUUGGGGGUAUUCAUAUUUCAGCGUCAGAGGUGAAAUUCUUGGAUCGCUGAAAGAUGAGCUUAGGCGAAAGCAUUUACCAUGGAUGUUUUCAUUAAUCA
rnacentral:rRNA from 1 species